rnacentral:snRNA from 1 species
AUACUUACCUGGCAGGGGAGAUACCAUGAUCACGAAGGUGNUUUUCCCAGGGCAAGGCUCACCCAUUGCACUUNGGGGUGUUCUGACCUCUGCGAUUUCCCCAAAUGCGGGAAACUCAACUACAUAACUUGGGGUAGUGGGGGCUGCGUUCGCGCUCUCCCCUG